AACGAACGCUGGCGGCGCGCCUAAUACAUGCAAGUCGAGCGAGAAGACGUAGCAAUACGUUUGUAAAGCGGCGAACGGGUGAGGAAUACAUGGGUAACCUACCCUCGAGUGGGGAAUAACUAGCCGAAAGGUUAGCUAAUACCGCGUACGCUCCUUGGACUUCGGUUCAGGGAGGAAAGCGAUACCGUGGGUAUCGCGCUCUUGGAUGGGCUCAUGUCCUAUCAGCUUGUUGGGAGGUAACGGCUCACCAAGGCUUCGACGGGUAGCUGGUCUGAGAGGACGAUCAGCCACACUGGCACUGCGACACGGGCCAGACUCCUACGGGAGGCAGCAGUAAGGAAUAUUGCGCAAUGGGCGAAAGCCUGACGCAGCGACGCCGCGUGGGGGAUGAAGGUCUUCGGAUUGUAAACCCCUUUCGGGAGGGAAGAUGGAACGAGCAAUCGUUCGGACGGUACCUCCAGAAGCAGCCACGGCUAACUUCGUGCCAGCAGCCGC
rnacentral:rRNA from 1 species